rnacentral:rRNA from 1 species
GGGGGGAGUAACGUAGGGAAACUUACGCUAAUACCGCAUGCGCCUUCGGGGAAAGCCGGGGACCUUCGGGCCUGGCGCGAUUGGAUGAGCCCACGUCGGAUUAACUAGUUGGCGGGGUAAAGGCCCACCAAGGCGACGAUCCGUAGCUGGUCUGAGAGGAUGAUCAGCCACACUGGAACUGAGACACGGUCCAGACUCCUACGGGAGGCAGCAGUAGGGAAUAUUGGACAAUGGGCGCAAGCCUGAUCCAGCCAUGCCGCGUGAGUGAAGAAGGCCCUCGGGUUGUAAAGCUCUUUUGUCCGGAAAGAAAAGCGCCGGGUUAAUACCCUGGUGUCCUGACGGUACCGGAAGAAUAAGCACCGGCUAACUUCGUG